AGCAAUCCCACUCCAUUUAUCAGGUACAUUGUUUGGAUUUUGUCAUAUUUAAAAUUUUGGAUUCUAUUUUUUUUUCCUCUUUUUUCUUGUACGUGUUAAGGAAGUUAUUUAAUUUGUACAGUAAAAACUAUACUGGGCAGCUGGGCAUACUUUUUUCUUAGUUAUGCAAGCGUUCACUUUCUUGCCUGUGAUAUUGUUUUCUGUUCAAUUUUGCUGGAACCUCUUUAUUUGUUCUGUAGUAUGAGUUAAGAACAAUUUGGUUGCCUCAACAUAAUAAAUUGAAUCCUAUGAUAAACUGUUUGGUCAAGCCUUUUGUU
rnacentral:misc_RNA from 1 species